UGUUAAAUUUCUGAUAAUAUUUCUUGUUUUUAAACUGAACCAAAUAUUGUCAUUGACACCUGAGAAAGGUUUUCUACUGUUUAAGGGGUUCUCAAUUUGUUUUGUGAUGUCUAUGUAUAUAGAUAGGUGCUUUCAGUAUAGGACUAAAAUAGAUGGUUGAAUAUUUAAUUUCAGUACAAUUUACAACAAAUUCCAAAUAAAACCUAUCAAAUUGGAUGUUGGUCCUGCUUUUGGUUGGCAGGAAAGUUAUAUGUUCACACACCUAUGGUUGAUGUGUUCAUUUUAAUUUUUCAUUUUUUUCCCUAAAAUUAGGUUAUAAAAGGUUUAAGAGUAUAUUUAAAUAUUGCUAUGUAUUCAGCUUUCGUGAGAUGCAUAGAAUUACAGCACAAUCUUAUGUACUUUAGUUGAAUUACACAUAUUCCAUUUCAGGAAGCAUCUUUGUAGUAAUACUUUGUGUGCAGCAUAAUGGAGAAUAGAAAAUAAAAAGCACUAUCUGUUGUGGCUCAAGGAAUCAAAUUUCAUUUUAAUUUUAUUGAAACAGCCGAAACAUUCCUGUUUCUUGAGAAAAUGACAACAAACUUACUAAAAGGUUGAAAUUUCAAGGUUUCCAGUGAAACAUUCAGAAACAGAAUUUUCAAGGUUUCCAGUGAAACAUUCAGAAACAGAUUGAAAAUUAUGAGGAUUUCAUUUUAUUUAUCUUUUCUCAUUAUAAGAAUACGGUGGAGAAUAAAAAGGGAAAUCUUAAGAUAUGUUAGAAAGGUUGGCAAAAUGUGAAGUAGAGAAGGGAUAUAAGUUUUAUUGUUUAAUUGUAGUAUUUAUUUUCUGAAAUUUUAUUUUGUUGAAUUUACUUUCAAAUUACUUAAUUGGAACAUUUAUAUAGAAAAACUUUUAGCCUAAAAAAUAUUUAAUGGUUAAGUUAUUAAGUUUUUAGGGCAAGCCUUGGUAGCAACUGUAAGGUUGCUCUUUUGUGGCUAGAGCAUCACAAGUUUGAGUUGUGGGAAGCGAUUUUCUGCAAAUAAAAAAAAAAUUAAAAGCAAGAGAAAAGGUUUCGUACAAAUACCAGCUCUCCUUUUUAAUUUUCUUUUAUAUGAUUGAACUAAAAUGAAGUUUAAUAUUGGACAAUGAGUACUAAAAUACUUAAAAAUUUUACUUGAUUUGUUGCCGAAAAAGGAUUUACUAAAAGGGCAGUUUGUUACAAUCCCAGGGGCAAAUUUGAAUUUUUGUUGUUGAUGCAUUAGCCAAUUGUACUAGUUAGUUACUGCCAUGAUGAUUGUACCUCUAUGGUUAAGUUGUUAGCCGAAAGGAAGAGCCUAUAUAAGGCUAGAAUGUAUGAGGAUGGGAAUUCAUGUUGAGUAAUACAUAAUUCUUUCCCUCCUAAUUCUCUUUCCCUCUCAUUUCUUUCUCUCAAUUCCCCUCCAUCUUUCAAAUUCUCCCUCCAAAACUCUCUCUCUCUUUUGGUUACUCUAUAAUUUCAGAAUUGCUCAAGCCUCACAUUAGAGACUUGACACGGUUGUAUAGUUGCAGCAUGUAAAAAGAAAAAAAAAAUCUAUACAUUUAUAUAAGAAAUGCCUGCAUGAAACAACAAAACAAGAGAAUAAGUGAUGACUAAUUUUUCUUCUAUUUCAUUUUUCCUCUAUUAAAUAUUUUUUCAGACUUUCUGAAUACUUCUAUAAUGAAUUUGGUAUAUCAAAAUAAUAUGUUAGAUUUUCCUCAUGUUAUUGAAGCAACGCACUGUUUUGGAAUCUUUCAUAGUGUUUUAGUAUGUUUUGGUAUAAAUAUUAGAAUUUUGUGUUUUUCAUGAAUAUCUAAUGUUUACUUUCUAGGAAAUGGAAAUGUUUUGGUUGUUUUGUUGGAAAUGAAAUGAAAUUUUGUUUCAUGCUGUUGAAGCAUUAUAAUUUUCCUUUCAUUCUCCUAGGUUGCUGUGAUUGCCAUGCUUUUCAAAUCUGUAUUAUGAAUGCCUAAUAAUAAUAGAAAUUCUCCUCCUCAGAUUAAAAUAUUUUUGUUCUAUUUUAAAACUAUGUCCAGGCUACUUAGCAAUAAAAAGGUCACUUAGCAAUAAAAAGGUCCAGACAAUACAAAUACUUCUGACCUCUCUGAUGCACUCAGCUGAAAGUUGCUCCUUUUUCAUUUCUUUCUUUUGUUUUUUAAGAUGAGGACCCGAUACUUGUCAUGAAUCCAAAUGUCAAUGUUUGACUCUAUUUAAAUUAGAACCCUCUCUCUUCUCUCUCUUCAAGUCCAGCCAAUGGUUAGAUUGAGGACAGAAAGUCACCUGCAUCUUAGUGCUUCCGAAGUUCAUUUGGUGUAUACUGAUAAUGAACACCAGCCCGUCUCUAGUAAGAUUUUUUUUUUCUUUUAUACUUCUGCUACUUGUACCCUUGUAAGUUGAAUACCUCUAUCCAAUCCUCUACUAGUCCCAGUUGAAGGGGGGGAUUGGGUUCAGCAGGUCAUAACAUGUUGAACUCCCGUAGUACUAAAAUAUUAAAGAUAGCUUUUAAUCUAAAGUCCCGUUUGGUAGGCAUUUCAGUCUUCAAUGAUCUGUUUUCGUUUUUCAUAAACAGAAAAUAAUGUUUGUUUUCUUGUUUUCUUUUUUCAAAAAAAAAAAAAACUAUUCAAAAAAUGAACACUAGGUGUUUUCACAAUUUUCAUUUUUUAUUAUUUCUUUGCCCUCUCCUAUCCUUAUCCCUCCAGCAGACGCCAGCAACUCUCAAGGCCUCUGGGAGUUUGUGACUCACUGGUGAAUUCCAGCAGUGGGAUAAGGGUAGAGGAGGAAAAAAUAACC